GACGAACGCUGGCGGCGUGCUUAACACAUGCAAGUCGAACGGAAAGGCCCUGCUUUUGUGGGGUGCUCGAGUGGCGAACGGGUGAGUAACACGUGAGUAACCUGCCCUUGACUUUGGGAUAACUUCAGGAAACUGGGGCUAAUACCGGAUAGGAGCUCCUGCUGCAUGGUGGGGGUUGGAAAGUUUCGGCGGUUGGGGAUGGACUCGCGGCUUAUCAGCUUGUUGGUGGGGUAGUGGCUUACCAAGGCUUUGACGGGUAGCCGGCCUGGGAGGGUGACCGGCCACAUUGGGACUGAGAUACGGACCAGACUCCUACGGGAGGCAGCAGUGGGGAAUAUUGCACAAUGGGCGGAAGCCUGAUGCAGAAACGCCGCGUGCGGGAUGACGGCCUUCGGGUUGUGAACCGCUUUCGCCUGUGACGAAGCGUGAGUGACGGUAAUGGGUAAAGAAGCACCGGCUAACUACGUG
rnacentral:rRNA from 1 species